CAGUUAUCGUUUAUUUGAUAGUACCUUACUACACGGAUAUCUGUGGUAAUUCUAGAGUUAAUACGUGCUAAAAACCCCGACUUCGGGAGGGGUGUAUUUAUUAGACAAAAAAACCAAUGCCCUUCGGGGCUCCUUGGUGAUUCAUAAUAACUCAACGAAUCGCAUGGCCUUGCGCCGGCGAUGGUUCAUUCAAAUUUCUGCCCUAUCAACUUUCGAUGCUAGGGUAGUGGCCUAGCAUGGUUACAACGGGUAACGGGGAAUUAGGGUUCUAUUCCGGAGAGGGAGCCCGAGAAACGGCUACCACAUCCAAGGAAGGCAGCAGGCGCGCAAAUUACCCAAUCCCGACUCGGGGAGGUAGUGACAAUAAAUACUGAUACAGGGCUCUUUCGGGUCUUGUAAUUGGAAUGAGUACGAUUUAAACACCCUAACGAGGAACAAUUGGAGGGCAAGUCUGGUGCCAGCAGCCGCGGUAAUUCCAGCUCCAAUAGCGUAUAUUAAAGUUGUUGCAGUUAAAACGCUCGUCGUUGAACCUUGGGCCUGGGCGACCGGUCUCCCUCACCGGAUGCACUGGUUCGGCCGGGCCUUUCCUUCUGGGGAUCCGCAUGCCCUUCGCUGGGCGUGUCGGGGAACCAGGACUUUUACUUUGAAAAAAUUAGAGUGUUCAAAGCAGGCCUUUGCUCGAAUACCUUAGCAUGGAAUAAUAGAAUAGGACGUGCGGUCCUAUUUUGUUGGUUUCUAGGACCGCCGUAAUGAUUAAUAGGGUCAGUCGGGGGCAUCAGUAUUCAAUUGUCAGAGGUGAAAUUCUUAGAUUUAUUGAAGACUAACUACUGCGAAAGCAUUUGCCAAGGAUGUUUUCAUUAAUCAGUGAACGAAAGUUAGGGGAUCGAAGACGAUCAGAUACCGUCGUAGUCCUAACCAUAAACUAUGCCGACUAGGGAUCGGGCGAUGUUAUCAUUUUGA
rnacentral:rRNA from 1 species